rnacentral:sRNA from 1 species
UUUGCCCAAGGAAGGCAGGUUUCACGGAUGGAACUUCAGGGAUGGGCAUCAGGACGAUGCUUACAAGGCAGUUAGAAAAGGGGCGAAUGACUCAAUCAUUCGCCCCUUUU